rnacentral:lncRNA from 1 species
UAUUCUGUGCUGCGCGCCGCGGAUCUGCUGUGAUCGCGCUCCGUUCACGCGCUCUUCCAUUUUAUUACAGGGAACGCGCUUUAAGAAGAGUCAAAAUCACGGUCUGGAAGUUGAUCGAGUUCAUCUGGAAAGACGCAAGAUCGAUAAUAAACACAACACAAUCAGAUGUGAACAUUAGAAAUCGACUUCCAGCGACUGUUUGCUUCAUAAAAGCCAAUUUCAUGAGACGAGGAGAAAACCACCGCGUAAAACAGCGUCCAUGUGUUUAACAUGCGCUGUCUGAAUUAAGAUAUGUGCAUUAAGCUGCAGGAAGCUCGUGUUUCCAGCGACAGACAGACAGACUGACGGUAAUGUGAUCAUCUACCAGAGGAGCUCCAGAUAUCAGCAGUCCCGCCUCGGGUUGACGGAGGCCGCGUGUCCCGCCCUGACCCCGGCGAGGAGGAUCGGCUCAGCGCUGAAUGACGAGCCACAGACACUCGACGAGCCUCAACGCAUUCAAAUCAAUCAGCCCGGUGUGACGUCAUCGGACACGUGACCGGAGCGGGCCGCUGGAGGUGUAUGAUCUGAGAUCAGGCCCUGAAACCCCAGAGAGGCCGACCCUCCACUCGCUCUGCAGGAUUAUUGUGGAUUCUCGAGACCGCCUCGUCCUACGCAAUCAGAUGAAGAGACUCUGCAAAGCUAACACAGACUGCACUGACACCGGGUUAAGUUGUGCUGGAUUCUUCCUCAUCAGUCCAUUUGAGUCAUCUGACGGAACAAAUGAAAGCUCAUUAUUCACUGACCGGUUUUCCACAGUAGCUGAUGUCCAGAUUUAACUACACUAUAAAAAUAUCCACAGUAUAGGCGUUUUCUGUUUAUUUACGGUUGUGAAUUGCAUUAUGAGGUGUUAAUCUCUGCUCUGUCGUCUUUUGAUAUUUGACUCUACAGUUUA